CCAAAACCAGGCGAGCGACAUGAAGAGGAAGUCCCACUGACCACUCGUCCACACCGGAUCCAGCCCCCUGCUGGUAGACAUCACAGGUGUCCACCAAUGGGAGCCGGCCCUCCGCUGGGUGACAUCACAGGUGUCCACCAAUGGGAGCCGGCCAGCCGCUGUGAUGGACUGGUUUAUCUAGUUGUACACUGACCCUUCAUCUUGGACCUAGGAGCAAGCAUCGGUAUAAUCUCACUAUCAAGGACAAUGAUGGACAAGACCUAAUUUAAGCCUUUUUUUUAUUUUGUUAUGUUUAUCCAGUAGAGCGGCAAGAAAGAAACUAAUAAUUUGAAAAGAAAAAAAGGUCUUGUUCAGCCUUUUUUUUUUUUUUUUUUUUGUCGACAUGUUUACAUAUGAAUCGACCUUGAUCACUGUGGCAUAAGAUUGUGAGCUAGGCGGCAGACUAGUCGUACGCUACGUAAUAUUACUUGUAUUUAAGCUUCUGUGGAAUUACGGGAUUCUUUAUGUUCUUGCAGUAAAAGACAAAAAAAUGAAAUGGAGAAAAAAUAGACGGUUGUUUUUUUUCCCCCUCAUGUCCCUGAUGUGGAGCAAACUGUUUAAGUUUGUAGAAAUGUACUGUUGGAUGUCACUUCUGCUCCUACAAAUGACUGUUAAGUUGUUAUAUGAUCUUAUAUAUUAAUAUUAUUGAUAAAUUAUUUGUAAUUUACACAGGGACAUAAUAUGUGUUUAUGUAAGCGCGUUUGUGUGUGUGAGUGAGAUCAAAGUGUGUGUGUGUGUGUGUGUACACAAGAGAUAGAUUUGUGUGUUUGUGUACAUAUAGGCAAUAUUAUGUAUUUUCUUUUCAUGGCAGUGGGUGAGAAAGUGUAUCCCCUCUCGCUAUGGGCGAGUCUGGCCUGGGCCUGGCUCCCUUGCGCCCCCGGUGCUGUUAGUCACACUGGACCCUUCCUGGACACAACCAAGACUUGAAUAGAAACGUAGAACCCUGAUUUGGACAGAUGGGCUCGAGUAUUAGGCUGGUAUUUUUAGUGUACUUGAAUUUUCUUUUUUUUUUGGGGGGGGGGUUGGGUUGGGGUGCGUAAUGUAUGAUCUUUUCGUUCUCUGCUAAUCAAGUUAAUCUUCUCAAAUGUCAAUGUAACACGACGCCUUAGUUUGUUCAAAUGGUAAACCGUUCAAAUACUAUGCAGGACUGUAAAACGCUCCUCAAUGCAAAAGUGCAAGUUGUUGCCUGGCUUUCAACCUCUCUACUCAACUGUCAGUAUGUUUCUGGGAGUCGUCUGUUCCCACGAGACUCCUCACGCCACCGCUAAAUACCUCUGUUAACUAACCUGUUCUUCCUGCGUCCAUUUCUUACCACACCUGCGUUUUUUUUGAUUACCUUUUUAUUCUUUCAAGGAAAAUUUGGAAAUUUCGAGGUCAGAAAGUAAAACAGUCCGUUUGCCUGUUCUCCUUGACAGUUUGUGUGUUUGUUGUACUAAUGUUCUAAUAAGGAAGUCUGUAUAGUUGACUGUAAACACCGGGAGGACUUUUACUUUGUGAACCCGAAAGCUCCCCCUAAGUAGUUGACUCCGUUCCACUGCGGGACUUUUUUCCACUCCACAUUAAAAGUGUGUGGUUGACUGACUAACUACUAAGAAUGGCGCCAAAGAUUGUUCCCUUGCUAGUUUGAAUGAAGGGUGUGUCAUGGUCAGCUGUGUGUAUGUCUGUAUGUGUGUGUACUUAAUUUAACGUUGUCAAAAUGUAGCCAAUGAGUGUUAUUGUCUGGUCGGGUCAGGUUGUCAUGAGCGGUUUUAUUGGAGCAGCGGGUGACGUCCUUUGUUUUGGGGGGAGGGGGGGAUUUCGCAGUAACUUAAUUUGGUAUUUUUGUAGAUUAUUU
ensembl:lncRNA